GGGGAAUAUUGGGCAAUGGGGGAAACCCUGACCCAGCAACGCCGCGUGAAGGACGAAGGCCUUCGGGUUGUAAACUUCUUUGAUCAGGGACGAAAGCAAUGACGGUACCUGAAGAACAAGCCACGGCUAACUACGUGCCAGCAGCCGCGGUAAUACGUAGGUGGCGAGCGUUAUCCGGAUUUACUGGGUGUAAAGGGCGUGUAGGCGGGUUUGCAAGUCGGGUGUGAAAGAUUCGGGCUUAACCCGGAGAGGUCAUCCGAAACUGCAGAUCUUGAGUGCUGGAGAGGAUAGUGGAAUUCCUGGUGUAGCGGUAAAAUGCGUAGAGAUCAGGAGGAACACCAGUGGCGAAGGCGGCUAUCUGGACAGUAACUGACGCUGAGGCGCGAAAGCGUGGGGAGCAAAC
rnacentral:rRNA from 1 species